rnacentral:rRNA from 1 species
AACGAACGCUGGCGGCGCGCCUAAUACAUGCAAGUCGAGCGAGAAGACGUAGCAAUACGUUUGUAAAGCGGCGAACGGGUGAGGAAUACAUGGGUAACCUACCCUCGAGUGGGGAAUAACUAGCCGAAAGGUUAGCUAAUACCGCGUACGCUCCUUGGACUUCGGUUCAGGGAGGAAAGCGAUACCGUGGGUAUCGCGCUCUUGGAUGGGCUCAUGUCCUAUCAGCUUGUUGGUGAGGAACGGCUCACCAAGGCUUCGACGGGUAGCUGGUCUGAGAGGACGAUCAGCCACACUGGCACUGCGACACGGGCCAGACUCCUACGGGAGGCAGCAGUAAGGAAUAUUGCGCAAUGGGCGAAAGCCUGACGCAGCGACGCCGCGUGGGGGAUGAAGGUCUUCGGAUUGUAAACCUCUUUCAGCUCCGACGAAGCGAGAGUGACGGUAGGAGCAGAAGAAGCACCGGCCAACUACGUGCCAGCAGCCGCAGUAAG